UCCUGCUAAGAAGCAUGGGAAGAACGACAAGAAGAAUAGGAAGGAUAAGAAAGAAGACAAGAAGAAAAAGAGAGAAAAGCAAAAAUCCGGAAGGGUUCGUUGUUGUAUUUCGCCUUGUUUGUUGUGCAUUCUCUGUUUAUGUUAU
rnacentral:ribozyme from 11 species